rnacentral:rRNA from 1 species
AUUGAACGCUGGCGGCACGCCUAACACAUGCAAGUCGAGCGGCAGCGAGAGUAGUAGCAAUACUACUUGUCGGCGAGCGGCGGACGGGUGAGGAACACGUAGGAAUCUACCCAGAAGAGGGGGAUAACCAAGGGAAACUUUGGCUAAUACCGCAUAAUCUCGAGAGAGAAAAGCUGCCCGCAAGGGUGGCGCUUUUGGAGGAGCCUGCGUCCGAUUAGCUAGUUGGUAGGGUAAAGGCCUACCAAGGCGAUGAUCGGUAACUGGUCUGAGAGGACGACCAGUCACAUUGGGACUGAGACACGGCCCAGACUCCUACGGGAGGCAGCAGUGGGGAAUAUUGGACAAUGGGGGAAACCCUGAUCCAGCGAUGCCGCGUGAGUGAAGAAGGCCUUCGGGUCGUAAAGCUCUUUAGGUUGGGAAGAAGGUUGUUAGGGUAAUAUCCUAGCAAUUUGACGGUACCGACAGAAUAAGCACCGGCAAACUCUGUGCCAGCCGCCGCGGUAA